AUUGAACGCUGGCGGCAUGCUUUACACAUGCAAGUCGAACGGUAACAGGCCGCAAGGUGCUGACGAGUGGCGAACGGGUGAGUAAUGCAUCGGAACGUGCCCAGUCGUGGGGGAUAACGCAGCGAAAGCAGUGCUAAUACCGCAUACGAUCUAUGGAUGAAAGCGGGGGACCGUAAGGCCUCGCGCGAUUGGAGCGGCCGAUGUCAGAUUAGGUAGUUGGUGGGGUAAAGGCGCACCAAGCCAACGAUCUGUAGCUGGUCUGAGAGGACGACCAGCGACACUGGGACUGAGACACGGCCCAGACUCCUACGGGAGGCGGCAGUGGGGAAUUUUGGACAAUGGGCGCAAGCCUGAUCCAGCAAUGCCGCGUGCAGGAAGAAGGCCUUCGGGUUGUAAACUGCUUUUGUACGGAACGAAAAGGUUUGGGUUAAUACCCUGAGCCGAUGACGGUACCGUAAGAAUAAGCACCGGCUAACUACGUGCCAGCCGCCGCAGUAAUAC
rnacentral:rRNA from 1 species